ACGGUAUCACAACAAACACACACCGUUGUACAGCAUUUUCAGUUAUCAAUAUUGUUAAUGUUGCAGUAUUUUUCCAUAGUUUGUGAUCAUUAUAAAUUAUAAUGUUUUCUUACUGCUAAGGAUUUUUUUUGCAAAAGUAAUUAUUGUUUUUUCAAUUUUUUCAAUUUCAAAUAAUUAUAUUACCGAUUAUACUGGAGUUGCCGUGCCGAUUCCCCGGAUCCAGCGCCAAGCAAACGAAAUGAAAAAUUGAAAACUGACAUCACACAGCAAGCAAAUGGUUGUGCAAAUAACCCAACUUCACAAUUAUUGUGUUUUACAAGUAUUAAAACAGUGCUUGAACGGUGCCGGAAAUCAUAAUUGAAAAAGAUAACGAAGAAAUGGGUCGUUCAACACACAAACAGUCAUUCGACAAGUCCAUGAUGAGCCUACAGAAUGAAUAGAUUUGUGAAAACCCUUACCUACUACAAGGUCAUACCGGACAAAUUAGAUUUAUCUCUUAACACAGCUAAACGUAAAGCCAUGACAUUGGUAAAAUAAUAUUUUCUCAUCAACAGAUGUUACCGACACCGAAUCAGUGGGCGCGCAGAGGCAAUGCGUCCGACUCUCAGAUGAGUGCGUCCGAAUCAGCCCCCAAUUGUAACCAUUUGGUUACAACUGAUACCGAUUCCGGUUAAAAUGGUCUACGGAAUGUUUGUUAUCGCUGUAAAACAUUAACGUCUGUUCCGUCGGAGAUGGCACUGUGAGCCAAUUUUUUUUUUCAAUUGGUCACAUUUCUUUAAAGGUUAACAGACAGCCAAGCUGUCGAAGAUUACCACCAUGUGUUUCACUACCUGUGAAUUGGCACAGUCGGUUUAACGUAUUCGCAAGGAGGAAACCACAUCAGGCACACGUCAAGGAAAGAAACUGCAGAUCCAACCUCGAGACUCCGAGCAAAGAACCAGCAUAACGUUCAACUUCACGACUGAAGUCGUGCGUUAUUUUUUAAAAAUCGAUGUAGACAAAACUUGUGAUGAACCCUUCACUAAUCGAAUACAACCACAACCUGGAGACCACCGCGCAUGUUCGAUCCAAAGUUCUGUAAACUUUUAAUUAUAUUUUCAUAACAUUUGUCAUAAUUGUAAAAAUGUUUAUUUUUUUU